CUCAAAUCUGAAUCCCUAAUCUCUCUCUAUCACAUUCGCUUUCUCUCUUUCUCUAUACUGAAAUCCAACUGAAGAACACCAUAAGCAGGCCUACUGAAUUCUUUAGUUUCUUGCCACUCUCUUCCGUUGAGUUGUUGAAGCACACACGACCACAACACUGCCGAAGCAAGAACCAGGAACUUCAGAGGCAGAUUGGCAUGAUGGAAGCCAAGUUAAGGCAAACAUUCCAAUUUCUCCCCCCCACUAAGCUCAGCAUAGUAGGAUUAACUCCUGCCACUCAGCGUAAAUCAUUCUCAAGCUCAUCAUAGGCUAAGCAAAUUAUUUCCUUGAAUCCUUUGUCUUUGAAGAAACAUGGUUGUGGUAGAAGCCCAAUACAUGCUUGUUUAGAGGAGGAGUUUUUGAAGGAUGUGAUGCAGUUUCUAAUGCUUCGAGGACAUACCCGACUUAUCCCUCAAAGUGGGAUUGCUGAGUUUUCGGAUGCCAUACUCAAUGGAAAGCAUCUUGACCUCUACAA